rfam:Phaethon lepturus contig122485, whole genome shotgun sequence.
GCAGACAUAGUUUCAACCCAAACAUUAGGCUGUGAUCCUAAAAAUAGAAGUUAGACCCUUCUUGCCUGCC